GAAGGUAUAGGUCAGUGGUAGAGCACAUGCUUAGCAUGCACAAGGUCCUGGGUUCAAUCCCCAGUACCUCCA
rnacentral:tRNA from 1 species